rnacentral:lncRNA from 1 species
GUGUGAUCUAGAGGCUGCUGAUCGAAGGCUUGGACAAGUGGAACGACUAGAUCGAGAUCUAGUCACUAGUUUUGGCAAAGGUAGGAUCUCAAGGGCCAUAUGUAUUGAUGGCCAAUUAUGGUAAGUAAGUUUAUGAUGGUUUCCAUUGUAUUUUGGAUCUGAUAUGUCUAGUGACGAUUGUAGGAUAUCGUGGGAGAUUUUGGUAGCAGUUGUCGCAAAUCAGGUGUGUAAAGGACACCCACUCAUAGACUAGAUCGGUAAAAGCCAAAAAGCUGAAAUGCCGAAAAGUCGACAUUUUGUGAACUUGCGAGCGUGCGAGCGCUCGUGUGAUGGUUUGGUUGUUAAUUUUGGUAAUCACAAGC